rnacentral:tRNA from 1 species
GGACCACUAGCUCAACUGGCAGAGCAGCUGACUCUUAAUCAGAAGGUUGCAGGUUCGACUCCUGCGUGGUCCACCA